rnacentral:misc_RNA from 1 species
GAUGAAGAACGUAGCGAAAUGCGAUAAGUAAUGUGAAUUGCAGAAUUCAGUGAAUCAUCGAAUCUUUGAACGCACAUUGCGCCCGCCAGUAUUCUGGCGGGCAUGCCUGUUCGAGCGUCAUUUCAACCAUCAAGCCCCAGGCUUGUGUUGGGGACCUGCGGCUGCCGCAGGCCCUGAAAACCAGUGGCGGGCUCGCUGUCACACCGGGCGUAGUAGAUUUUAUCUCGCUCAGGGCGUGCUGCGGGUUCCGGCCGUUAAAAAGACUUUUUUACCCAAGGUUGACCUCGGAUCAGGUAGGAAGACCCGCUGAACUUAAGCAUAUCAUAAGCGGAGGA